rnacentral:tRNA from 1 species
GUCCCCAUCGUCCAGUGGUCGAGAGCCAGGCCUUUCACGCCUGAAACAGGGAUUCGACUUCCCUUGGGGACA